GGACCGGUUAGCUCAGUGGUUUGAGCAUGGUGCUGGCAACAAUGACCGACACCGAGGUCACGGGUUUGAUUCCUGCUCGGUCCC
rnacentral:tRNA from 1 species